UAGAAUCGUUGAUACACAAGUCAUUGAUAACUAUGCAUUUCCAAGCGAAAAUCUAGGUCUAGUUUCUCUGCGUUUCUUUUCUUCUAUACGAUUUCUACGAUCGCUCUCAAUUUUCCUUGUCAUCUUUCUCAUCUAAUCCUAAUACCGUGAUGGAGGAUGUUGCUACUGCUUCUAGUGAGGAUAGAGAAAACAAGUUCCUAACAAUAGCAAUUGAAGAAGCAUAUAAAGCAGUUGAAAGUGGCGAUGGUCGUCCAUUCGGCGCGGUUAUUGUUCGAGAUGAUGAAAUAGUUGCAAGCUGUC
rnacentral:sRNA from 1 species